GGAUGUGUGGGCGAUCUGGCUGCGACAUCUGUCACCCCAUUGGUCACCAGGGUUGAUUCGGCUGAUCUGGCUGGCUAGGCGGGUGUCCCCUUCCUCCGUCACCGCUCCAUAUGCAUCCCUGCCGAAACUGCGCCCUUGGUCGGAGAGGAUGACCAUCCCCAAUAGAGGAGGACCGUUCUUCGGUCAAGGGUAUACAAGUAGCUGUGCUCCCCUGCUAGAACUUCCAAACAAGCUCUCAAGAAACACGGCAGACUUAACGGAAGCAGAUGAGGCUCAGAGACACCACUCUAUCAACUGACCCCUCUUCCUGGGUAUCCGUCCAGCAGGGG
rfam:Tupaia chinensis contig199180, whole genome shotgun sequence.